rfam:Omnitrophica WOR_2 bacterium RBG_13_41_10 RBG_13_scaffold_40, whole genome shotgun sequence.
GGGCAUUUAGCUUAGCCUGGUUAGAGCGCGUGCCUCACAUGCACGAGGUCAGAGGUUCAAAUCCUCUAAUGCCCA